rnacentral:rRNA from 1 species
AGCGAACGUUUGCGGCGGGCCUAACACAUGCAAGUCGAACGCACUAGCAAUAGUGAGUGGCGCACGGGUGCGUAACACGUGGGUAAUCAACCCUUCAGCCUGGGAUAACGACUCGAAAGGGUCGCUAAUACCGGAUACGGCGCGAGAGGCUUCGGCUUCUCACGAGAAAGCCACGCAAGGGGCACUGAAGGACGAGCCUGCGGCCCAUCAGCUAGUUGGUGAGGUAAGAGCUCACCAAGGCUAAGACGGGUAGCUGGUCUGAGAGGAUGAUCAGCCACACUGGAACUGAGACACGGUCCAGACUCCUACGGGAGGCAGCAGUGGGGAAUAUUGCGCAAUGGGCGAAAGCCUGACGCAGCCACGCCGCGUGAGCGAUGAAGGCCUUGGGUCGUAAAGCUCUGUGGGAGGAGACGAGAAAGCCUGUGAAGAGCAGGCCUUGACGGUAUCUCCUUAGCAAGCACCGGC